AGAGAUUAAAGGGACAGCUUUUAAGAUUAAAGAAGGAGCCAGACGUUUUACAAGAGUAUGAUAGAGUAAUUAAAGAACAGUUAGAGCUAGGUAUUAUAGAACCAGUUGUAGAGUUAGAGAGAGCUGAUAAGAUCCAUUAUCUACCACAUCAUGCUGUGGUUCGUAAAGAUGCAAAGACCGCUAAGGUCAGGGUUGUGUAUGAUGCAUCGAGUAAAGAGACUAAGAAGGGUGUAUCUUUAAAUGACUGCUUGCAUGUUGGGCCACCUCUAUCCCCGUUGUUGUAUCACAUUAUAUUGCGUUUUAGAGAAAAGCGAAUAGCGCUUGUAGCAGAUAUAGAGAAGGCUUUUUUAAAUAUUGAAAUUGAUCCGUGUGACAGAGAUUGUUUGAGGUUUCUUUGGGUGGGCAACAUACAUGAAGAUGAGGUGAAGCCAGUAGAGUAUAGAUUUUGUAGAGUUGUUUUUGGUGUGAACUGUUCACCAUUUUUGCUGAAUGCCACACUUCAACACCAUCUUGACCGCUUUUCGAAGGGUAAUCCUGUAUUGAC